AAAGACACUCCCCCUAGUGAUACAUGUCGGAUACUUCAGAUUGUCACGCUGUGGGGGAAAUACGAUGUCUGGAAGCGCCCUUUCACAACGCUAGUCGUCCCAAGGCGCUUGACAUGGAUGUGUUGUAAUACAUUACAACAUCAUUAGACAGAGUAAUACAUAAUGGCAAGACCACCGUGCUACUGGCUUGCAUUCACAUUCUCCGAGUACUACUUACUUUAAGGGACAAUGCGCCAAGAUGGCAGUGCGAUGCGAUUCUGCAAUGCUUUUGAAUCCCUCCUAUACACAGGGUUGCCAUCUCUCACACAUCUGGUGUGACAGUCACGCUUUCAAACUCUCACGCUCACACAAGCAAUAUUACGGUAAAUCUAUAUUAUUCCAUUAUAAACCUAAAAUUAGCUAUCUCAAAAGCAUUGGGGUAGUUUGCAAACCCUACAGACCAUUUACAAGGUAAUAAAAUUGUUACAUACAAGUAAAUGCGUGUGCAGACUUGUAUCAAAUUGAAAAUCUCACGCCAGCCACCUGACCUAAGUUGGAAAUCCUGUAUACAAGAUUAGUUGAAUGAACUUUACUUGAAAAUAAUGAGUAAACUGUGCUUUUCUCCAUUGAAGCAACAGCAACUCGAUAAAAUCUAGUAAGAAUUGCAAAAACUUAAACUUAAGUAAAGUCAACAAAUGUAUUUAGUAUGUAUUUGAGAUAACUAUUAGUAUUUACAGUGUGUUAUCUACUGCAUAUUAACACCUACUGUGUUUGAGAGUAUCCAUAUGGCACAAUGGUGAAGUGUUUCCAGAGAAAGUGAGCAGUGAAUCAUGUUGGUUGCAUGAUGGUGCAGUAGUUCGUGCUGUUCCCCCAUGUCCUCGUGGGGUUUCCUCUGGAUUCCCCCCACAGUCUAAAAACAAACUAAGGUGAAUUUGAGUAAAGAAAAUUCCCUGUAGGUGUGAAUGGUGUGUGUGCCCUGCAAUGGGUUGGUGCCCCACCCAGAGUUUUUCCCCACUUUGUGCCGCUAGCUUCCGGGAUAGGCUCUGGUCACUGGAUGGAUGAAAAGACAAUUCCCUCUCUUAUAAAGACAUAUUUAGAAUAGGCUACGUCAGGAGCACAGCACAUGAAAAGCAACAUAUUGCCACGUGGAUAUAUAUUACACAUCUGAGUCUGGGAGCUUUCUGAAAUCUUUCUACAGGUUUUCCCUCCCACCAGUGUCUCAUCUUACUGUGCACUACAAAUCUGUCUCAUUUGGAUAAUCAUUUACAUUCCACACUGAUGCUACGGCUGGGAAGAUAUCAGUACAGACUCCUUCCUGUGAAAUAUCUCACCUCACACUCUGUGAGUGCCAGGGUGGAGUUACGUGUGAGUCAGUGCACCAUCUGUGGACUGGAUAUACAGGGUA